GCUAGCGUAGCUUAAUGCAGAGCAUAACACUGAAGAUGUUAAGAUGGACACUAAAAAGUCCCGCAAGCA
rnacentral:tRNA from 1 species